rnacentral:rRNA from 1 species
GAUAGCAGCCAUAUCACCCUGCAGCUCACAACUGGCAGCCCACUGGAGCUCAGCAGGCGUGAGCCUGGUCAGUACCUGGAUGGGAGACCUCCUGGGAAAAACUAAGGUUGCAGCUGGAA